UUUUGGGGAAUGAAAACAUCGUGACGAAACAGGAUUAAACUGAACAAGUUUACUCUCUGGGUUGGAAGGUCAGAUGGCAGUCGCUUUCGUAAAAACUAGUGCCUACGCCAAUUCUCGGGAUUAGUUGCCAAGCGGACCCCAGGCUCCCAUGAGCCGUGGCAAAAUGCCGGGAUAACGCGAGGAAGA